rnacentral:ncRNA from 1 species
UUCUUAUCCAGAGUGGUGGAGGGACUGGCCCAAUGAAACCCGGCAACCGAUUUGUAUGAUACGGUGCUAAUUCCAGCAGAACAAUUUGUUCUGAAAGAUAAGAA